AUUGAACGCUGGCGGCAUGCCUUACACAUGCAAGUCGAACGGCAGCACGGGUGCUUGCACCUGGUGGCGAGUGGCGAACGGGUGAGUAAUACAUCGGAACAUGUCCUGUAGUGGGGGAUAGCCCGGCGAAAGCCGGAUUAAUACCGCAUACGAUCUACGGAUUAAAGCGGGGGACCUUCGGGCCUCGCGCUAUCGGGUUGGCCGAUGGCUGAUUAGCUAGUUUGUGGGGUAAAGGCCUACCAAGGCGACGAUCAGUAGCUGGUCUGAGAGGACGACCAGCCACACUGGGACUGAGACACGGCCCAGACUCCUACGGGAGGCAGCAGUGGGGAAUUUUGGACAAUGGGCGAAAGCCUGAUCCAGCAAUGCCGCGUGUGUGAAGAAGGCCUUCGGGUUGUAAAGCACUUUUGUCCGGAAAGAAAUACUUGGCCCUAAUACGGUCGGGGGAUGACGGUAACGGAAGAAUAAGCACCGGCUAACUACGUG
rnacentral:rRNA from 1 species